rnacentral:rRNA from 1 species
AGAGUUUGAUCCUGGCUCAGAUUGAACGCUGGCGGAAUGCUUUACACAUGCCAAGUCGAACGGCAGCACGGGGCAACCUGGUGGCGAGUGGCGAACGGGUGAGUAAUACAUCGGAACGUGCCCAAUCGUGGGGGAUAACGUAGCGAAAGUUACGCUAAUACCGCAUACGAUCUACGGAUGAAAGCGGGGGAUCGCAAGACCUCGCGCGAAUGGAGCGGCCGAUGUCAGAUUAGGUAGUUGGUGGGGUAAAGGCUCACCAAGCCAACGAUCUGUAGCUGGUCUGAGAGGACGACCAGCCACACUGGAACUGAGACACGGUCCAGACUCCUACGGGAGGCAGCAGUGGGGAAUUUUGGACAAUGGGCGCAAGCCUGAUCCAGCCAUUCCGCGUGCAGGAUGAAGGCCUUCGGGUUGUAAACUGCUUUUGUACGGAACGAAACGGCGAGCUCUAAUACAGUUUGCUAAUGACGGUACCGUAAGAAUAAGCACCGGCUAACUACGUG